CUGGCGGCAAGGUGCUCUACAAGGCCUGGCAAUAAGGAAGGGUCCAGUUACUCGCAUCCAGUGGUCUAGAGCAUGUUUGAUUAGGCAACUUUUAGCAGUCGUCCUCAGCUGUGCAUAUUAAAAUGGCUCCUUAAUUCAUGUAUAAUAUCUAGGUGAAUGUGAUCCCUAGACCUUUAACACCUGGCUCUGAGUCCUGCCCGCACCUUCCAGGCACCACUCACUCCAAUGGCUCCACUCCUGGGCUCCUUGAUACAGACAAGGGCUCUGAUUGGAAACCCUCUGACUCCUCCGUGCUUCUUGGCCUUUGACAAGUUUAUCACAGAUGGGAGAAGGACAUUCUGUUUCUUCAGUGUUAUGGGCUGACUCACUUCCCUCUUCUCUGCAAUAAGCACAAAGGCCAAAGUCAGUCCACUCUACCAAGAAACAGCAAAAUGGCUCUGAGAGUGGUGUCCUUCCGGAUUGGUGUUUCUCAGCAAGUUGGCUGUUUCUAACUUGGGUUGUCCCCUCAUGGUUGCAAGAUGACUGCCACUACUCCAGAUAUGAUAUCUUCUAACACCCUCCCACAGUGGAAGAAGGAAGAGAGCACUCUUUUCUUUUUAAGACAAAAGAAAAUUUUUCUGGAAACCACCAUGCACCAGCAGACUUUCCCUCAUAUCUCAUUAACCAGAAUUCCUAUACAUGCUGAUGCCUGAACCUAUCACUGGCCUCUGAAGAGAUGAACAAAAUCAUGCCUCUGUGAGCAAGCAAGAAGGUGGUUGUGGUGGUUGAGAAGGCAACUGACAUCAACCACCUCCAUAAUGGUGAUGAAAACUAUGGGCUCUUAGAGGACAGAGUUCUGGGAGGGAAGAGAGCCACAUCUGGGACAGAGGUGAAGAGGACACUACAGUCAUUUAAUGGAGCUCCUAAGAGAAGAGUCUUUUGAGUCACAAAAUUUGGAGUCACAAACUGAACUCUUGGCUCUGCCAUUUCCUAACUGUGCAAACAAGUUAUUUACCCUCUAUGCCUUUGUUUCCACAGCUAUCGAAGGCCAACAUCUAAUGGAAGCUUGAAAAUAAAAUUAAGCCACACAGAGUAUGUGAUUAAUAAGUGAAACUAUCAUUAGUACUUCUGGCUGAGCAACAGGCACAGGCAUCAGAUUGGUUGUUAUACCAACAGUCAUUGAAAUUAUUGAAUACAAACAUUAAGUCUAGAUGCAGUGCUUCAAUAGACUCUUUCUUCUCCAGGAUGAGAAAGCUUGCUCAGAAUGAAGAGACAAGAAGUGGUUGUGGAGACAAACAGGAUUCAAAAUCAGAUCCCACUGCUACCAUUUAGGGAAAGUUAUUGGGAAAGUUACUGAAUCUUGGGAAAGUUAUUGAACUGCCUUGUGCUCAGUUUUCUCAUCUGCAACAGAGAGUAACAGCUCAUUAAGUUAUGAAGAUUAAACAAGUUAAUACAAAUGCACGUGUAAACUGUGAAUAAGGGCAGCCAUUGUUAGCAUGUUUACUGUUUUCAUAUAAAGAUGCAGUUACUCUAUUCUGUCUUUUAUUUACUUUGCUAAUUGUCACUACAAGAGGAGCAGUGAAAAAUCUGGCUUCAAUUCUUGUUCUUUCUCUUAGGAGCCACAUGGCCUCCGAGUAUCAGGUACUCCUUCAGUAAAAAGAUUGGCCCACUUUUCUCUCCAGAGAUGAGAGGUUCCAAAUAAAAUGUUUUGAAGACUGAAACUCAACAUAUGAUGUCUCAUUAUUUAUACGUAUUAUCUCCUGCGAUUCCAAUUUUUGUCUCAUUCUUUCUUAUCACCUACGCUUUUCUUUGGCUUCCUGCCUGGAACUUUUUCCUAUACUAUUUCACUACUUACCAUAAUCUCCAAUAUCUCUACUUUCUCUUCUAUCCAAAUCUUUAUGCAUCAUUACUUACAAUCUCUUAAAUGUGCCUUAAACUUUUCUUAUAGGAUAGUGGUGUGUAUAUACAUACAUUUAAAUUUAUUUUAAAUUUAAUCUCUCCUUCUCAGCCCCACAGAGACUGGUAUUAAAUUAGCAUAUGUAAAA
rnacentral:lncRNA from 1 species